GGAAGAGUGGCAGAGUGGUUGAUUGCAUCAGUCUUGAAAACUGACGUGUUAGUAGCACCGUGAGUUCGAAUCUCACCUCUUCCG
rnacentral:tRNA from 1 species